AUGCAAUGCAGACGUGGAGUUUUGGGUCCAAACCCCGGGAUUUCGGUACACUUGAUGGAGACACAGAGUUUUGGGUCCAAACCCUCAUAUUUGGGGACACAACAUCACCACAUUUUUGUUCGAAACCCCAGGAUUUUGGGUCUGAACCACAGAACCCUGCAACAUGCGAUGGAGCCGCGGAGUUUUGGGUCAAAACCCCGGGAUUUGGGGGCACAGAACAACCCAACAUUUCGGGUCCAAACCCUGGGAUUUCAGUUCACCAGACGGAGACACGGAGUUUUGGUCCAAACCCCGGGAUUUCAAAGCACAGAACCACAACAUUUUGGGCCGAAACCCCGGGAUUUUUGGUCCGAACCUCAGAACUUUGCGACACACGAUGGAGACCUGGAGUUUUGGGUCCAAACCCCGGGAUUUCAGAACCGAACCACCCAACAUUUUGGGUCAAAACACCGGGAUUUGGGGUCUGAACCUCACAACUUUGCGACACGCGAUGGAGCGGCAGAGUUUUGGGGCCAAACUCUGCGAUUUCGGAGCCGAACCACCCAACAUUUUGGGUCAAAACACCGGGAUUUUGGGUCCGAACCUCAGAACUUUGUGACAUGCGAUGCAGACGCAGAGUUUUGGGUCGAAACCCUGGGAUUUUGGGGCACAGAACUGCAACUUUUGGGGUCCAAAUGUCGGGAUUUUGGGUCCAAACCUCAGAACUCUGUGACACGCGAUGGAGACGCAGAGUUUCGGAUCCAAACCCCGGGACUUGGAAGCAGAACCACCCAACAUUUCAGGACUAAACGCUGGGAUUUCGGGGCUCAGAACCGCAACAUUUCGGGUCCAAACCCCGGGAUUUCAGUACACCUGAUGGAGCGGCGGAGUUUUGGGUCCAAACCCUGGGACUUCAGUUCACCUUAUGGAGACGUGGACUUUUGGGUCCAAACCCCGGGAUUUCAGAGCCGAAGCACCCAACAUUUUGGGUCCAAACACGGAGAUUUGGGGUCUGAAACUCAGAACUUUGCGACACGCAAUGGAGACGCGGAGUUUCGGGUUGAAACCCGGGGAUCUGGCUGUAGAACAACCCAUCAUUUUGGGUCCAAACCCCGGGAUUUCAGUUCACCUGACGGAGACACAGAGUUUCGGGUCCAAACCUCGGGAUUUGGGGACACAACAUCCGAACAUUUUGGGUCAAAAGCCCGGGAUUUUGGGGCCAAACCUCAGAACUUUGCGACAUGCGAUGAAGACGUGGAUUUUCGGGUCCAAACCCCGGGAUUUGGGGGCAGAACCACCCUACAUUUUGGGCCGAAACCCCGGGAUUUCAGUUCACCUGACAGAAACACAGAGUUUUGGGUCCAAACCCCAGGAUUUAGGGGCACAACAUCACCAGAUUUCGGGUCAAAACCCCGGGAUUUUGGGUCCGAACCUCAGAACUUUGCGACGCGCAACAGAGACGCGGAGUUUCGGGUCCAAACCCCGGGAUUUGUGGCCCCAGAACCACAACAUUUCGGGUCCAAACCUUGAGAUUUUGGUACAUGUGACGGAGCAGCGGAGUUUGGGGUCCAAACCCCGGGAUUUGGGGACACAACAUCCCAACAUUUUGGGCCGAAACCCCGGGAUUUUGGGUCCGAACCUCAGAACUUUGUGACACGCGAUGGAGACCCG
ensembl:lncRNA